UACGUAGGGAGCAAGCGUUGUCCGGAAUCAUUGGGCGUAAAGCGCGCGUAGGCGGCCUGUAAGUCCGUUGUGAAAGUCAAAGGCUCAACCUUUGAAAGCCGAUGGAUACUGCAGGGCUAGAGUCCGGAAGAGGCGAGUGGAAUUCCUGGUGUAGCGGUGAAAUGCGCAGAGUAUCAGGAGGAACACCAAUUAGCGAAGGCAGCUCGCUGGGACGUUACUGACGCUGAGACGCGAAAGCGUGGGGAGCAAACAGG
rnacentral:rRNA from 1 species